rnacentral:rRNA from 1 species
GAUGAACGCUGGCGGCGUGCCUAAUACAUGCAAGUCGAGCGAACAGACGAGGAGCUUGCUCCUUUGACGUUAGCGGCGGACGGGUGAGUAACACGUGGGUAACCUACCUAUAAGACUGGGAUAACUUCGGGAAACCGGAGCUAAUACCGGAUAAUAUUUCGAACCGCAUGGUUCGAUAGUGAAAGAUGGCUUUGCUAUCACUUAUAGAUGGACCUGCGCCGUAUUAGCUAGUUGGUAAGGUAACGGCUUACCAAGGCAACGAUACGUAGCCGUCCUGAGAGGGUGAUCGGCCACACUGGAACUGAGACACGGUCCAGACUCCUACGGGAGGCAGCAGUAGGGAAUCUUCCGCAAUGGGCGAAAGCCUGACGGAGCAACGCCGCGUGAGUGAUGAAGGUCUUCGGAUCGUAAAACUCUGUUAUUAGGGAAGAACAAACGUGUAAGUAACUGUGCAUGUCUUGACGGUACCUAAUCAGAAAGCCACGGCUAACUACGUG